UUAAAAUCUCCACUUUUGGCUAGGGUUCUUAUAUACCUACAUCUAACACAAGAAUAAAGAUAAAAUCCAAAAAGAUUUGAUGAUGCAUGGUGGAUUUGAGCUAGAAUCUAGAAGAUCUAGAAUGAAUAAGUAUCCUCAAGCAAGGUGCGGGAAAGCUUGGAAGACAACAUGGCAAACAAGUGGAAAUGGGGAGGACUUUCCUACGAGCGAAGGCAUGUUAAGAAUGAAUGCAUGGGAGUUGAAUAUUACAAUCUGGAGAUCGGAUUCGAGAUUUUAACCAAAUGAACCCUCACUUGUAGAGGGGAUUUGACGUGAUCAAUUGGUUUUCGUUGAAUUUCAUUUAUACUUUGAAUAUGUACGGUAUGAAAUGUAACGCCCCGCUUUUUCGUAACUUUCUUUAACUAGAAAACAUGUCUUGUAUUUCUGUUUUUUUAGAAGUUUGUUCCUUUUGUAUUUCGUUUCAAACCAUUGUAAAUCCAAGACUUCGAUCUUAAUGAAAUUCUAUUUUUUUA